rnacentral:rRNA from 1 species
GAUGAACGCUGGCGGUCUGCUUAACACAUGCAAGUCGAACGGAAUCCUUCGGGAUUUAGUGGCGGACGGGUGAGUAACGCGUGAGAAUCUGCCUUCAGGUUCGGGACAACAGCUGGAAACGGCUGCUAAUACCGGAUGUGCCGAGAGGUGAAAGCUUUAGUGCCUGAAGAUGAGCUCGCGUCUGAUUAGCUAGUAGGAGUGGUAAUGGCACCCCUAGGCGACGAUCAGUAGCUGGUCUGAGAGGAUGAUCAGCCACACUGGGACUGAGACACGGCCCAGACUCCUACGGGAGGCAGCAGUGGGGAAUUUUCCGCAGUGGGGGGAAGCCUGACGGAGCAAGACCGCGUGAGGGAAGAAGGUCUGUGGAUUGUAAACCUCUUUAGAUGGGGAAGAAGACAGUGACGGUACCCAUCGAAUCAGCCUCGGCUAACUCCGUGCCAGCCGCCGCCGUAA